rnacentral:pre_miRNA from 1 species
AUACAAAUCCCUGCGCAUCUUGUUAAAAUGCAGAUUCUGAUCCCUCGGUCUACAGUGGGGCCUGAAAUUCUGCAUUUCUAACAAGUUUCCAGGGGAUGCUGAU